CCUACGGGCGGCAGCAGUAGGGAAUCUUCCACAAUGGGCGAAAGCCUGAUGGAGCAACGCCGCGUGGGUGAAGAAGGUCUUCGGAUCGUAAAACCCUGUUGUUAGAGAAGAAAGUGCGUGAGAGUAACUGUUCACGUUUCGACGGUAUCUAACCAGAAAGCCACGGCUAACUACGUGCCAGCAGCCGCUGUAAUACGUAGGUGGCAAGCGUUAUCCGGAUUUAUUGGGCGGAAAGGGAACGCGGGCGGUCUUUUAAGUCUGAUGUGAAAGGCUUCGGCUUAACCGGGGUAGUGCAUUGGAAACUGGGAGACUUGAGUGCAGAAGAGGAGAGUGGAACUCCAUGUGUAGCGGUGAAAUGCGUAGAUAUAUGGAAGAACACCAGUGGCGAAAGCGGCUCUCUGGUCUGUAACUGACGCUGAGGUUCGAAAGCGUGGGUAGCAAACAGGAUUAGAUACCCCAGUAGUC
rnacentral:rRNA from 1 species